rnacentral:rRNA from 1 species
CCCUUAGAUGUCCUGGGCCGCACGCGCGUUACACUGAUGCAUUCAACGAGCUUAUAACCUUGGCCGAGAGGCCUGGGCAAUCUUGUUAACGUGCAUCGUGAUAGGGAUAGAUUAUUGAAAUUAUUAAUCUUGAACGAGGAAUUCCUAGUAAACGCAAAUCAUCAAUUUGCAUUGAUUACGUCCCUGCCCUUUGUACACACCGCCCGUCGCACCUACCGAUUGAAUGAUCCGGUGAAAUCUCGGGAUUGUGGCCAGUUCACUUUAUUGGGAGUUGGCUGUGAGAACUUGCUUAAACCUUAUCAUUUAGAGGAAGGUGAAGUCGUAACA